rnacentral:rRNA from 1 species
UACAGAGGUCCCGAGCGUUGUUCGGAUUCACUGGGCGUAAAGGGUGCGCAGGUGGGUUGGCAAGUUCGAUGUGAAAGCCCCGGGCUUAACCCGGGAAUGGCAUUGGAUACUGCUGAUCUGGAGGAUCGGAGGGGGGACUGGAAUUCUUGGUGUAGCAGUGAAAUGCGUAGAUAUCAAGAGGAACACCAGUGGCGAAGGCGAGUCCCUGGACGAUACCUGACACUGAGGCACGAAAGCCAAGGGAGCAAACAG